rnacentral:misc_RNA from 1 species
AAGUUGUAACAAGGUCUCCGUUAGUGAACUAGCAGAGGGAUCAUUAUAGAGUUGCAAAACUUCUAUCACCAUUGUAAACUUACCUUACACCCGUUGCUUUGGCAAGCGGCCCUAGGCUUCUGUUUUCACAGAUCCUUAGGGCCCUAUAGCCUGAUUGUCAGGUGCCUGCCAGAGGUCAUGCAACUAGACAUUGUUUAUAGCCUGUUAGAAUUUGUACUACCAAUUAGUUAAAACUUUCAACAACAGAUCUCUUGGUUCUA